rnacentral:rRNA from 1 species
GACGGAGGAUGCAAGCGUUAUCCGGAAUUAUUGGGCGUAAAGCGUCCGCAGGUGGCUGUUCAAGUCUGCUGUCAAAGCGCAGAGCUUAACUCUGUACAGGCGGUGGAAACUGAAGAGCUAGAGUAUGGUAGGGGUAGAGGGAAUUCCCGGUGUAGCGGUGAAAUGCGUAGAUAUCGGGAAGAACACCAGUGGCGAAAGCGCUCUACUGGUCCGGUACUGACGCUGAGGUGCGAAAGCGUGGGGAGCAAACAGG